rnacentral:rRNA from 1 species
GACGAACGCUGGCGGCGUGCUUAACACAUGCAAGUCGAACGGAAAGGCCUGCUUUCCCUUGUGGAUUGCGGGUACUCGAGUGGCGAACGGGUGAGUAACACGUGAGUGAUCUGCCCCCAACUUGGGUAUAAGCCUGGGAAACUGGGUCUAAUUCCCGAUAGGACUGCAGGGUGGUGCCUGUGGUGGAAAACGAUUUUCUAGUGGUUGGGGAUGAGCUCGCGGCCUAUCAGCUUGUUGGUGGGGUAAUGGCCUACCAAGGCGGCGACGGGUAGCCGGCCUGAGAGGGUGGACGGCCACAUUGGGACUGAGAUACGGCCCAGACGCCUACGGGAGGCAGCAGUGGGGAAGAUUGCACAAUGGGCGGGAGCCUGAUGCAGCGACGCCGCGUGGGGGAUGACGGCCUUCGGGUUGUAAACUCCUUUCGAUCGCGAGGAAGCCACCUGGUUGGAAGGGUGGUGACGGUAGUGGUAGAAGAAGCACCGGCUAACUACGUG